GUCGAACGAUGAAGGAGAGCUUGCUCUCCGGAUUAGUGGCGAACGGGUGAGUAACACGUGACUAACCUGCCCCUUUCUCUGGGAUAACGCUCCGAAAGGAGUGCUAAUACCGGAUACGAACUCUGAACACAUGUUCGGAGUUGGAAAGUUUUUCGGAAAGGGAUGGAGUCGCGGCCUAUCAGCUUGUUGGUGAGGUAAUGGCUCACCAAGGCGACGAUCAGUAUCUGGUUUGAGAGGAUGAUCAGACACACUGGAACUGAGACACGGUCCAGACUCCUACGGGAGGCAGCAGUGGGGAAUUUUCCGCAAUGGGCGAAAGCCUGACGGAGCAAUACCGCGUGAGGGAUGAAGGCCUAUGGGUUGUAAACCUCUUUUUUCAGGGAGGAACAAAAUGACGUGUACCUGAAGAAUAAGCAUCGGCUAACUCCGUGCCAGCCGCCGCAGUAA
rnacentral:rRNA from 1 species